rnacentral:rRNA from 1 species
UACGGAGGGAGCUAGCGUUGUUCGGAUAUACUGGGCGUAAAGCGCACGUAGGCGGCGCAGCAAGUCAGGGGUGAAAUCCCGGAGCUCAACCCCGGAACUGCCUUUGAUACUGGAUAUCUUGAGUUCGGAAGAGGUAAGUGGAAUUGCGAGUGUAGAGGUGAAAUUCGUAGAUAUUCGCAGGAACACCAGUGGCGAAGGCGGCUUACUGGUCCGAUACUGACGCUGAGGUGCGAAAGCGUGGGGAGCAAACAGG